GACGAACGCUGGCGGCGUGCUUAACACAUGCAAGUCGAACGGAAAGGCCCUGCUUUUGUGGGGUGCUCGAGUGGCGAACGGGUGAGUAACACGUGAGUAACCUGCCCUUGACUUUGGGAUAACUUCAGGAAACUGGGGCUAAUACCGGAUAGGAGCUCCUGCUGCAUGGUGGGGGUUGGAAAGUUUCGGCGGUUGGGGAUGGACUCGCGGCUUAUCAGCUUGUUGGUGGGGUAGUGGCUUACCAAGGCUUUGACGGGUAGCCGGCCUGAGAGGGUGACCGGCCACAUUGGGACUGAGAUACGGCGCAGACUCCUACGGGAGGCAGCGGUGGGGAAUAUUGCACAAUGGGCGGAAGCCUGAUGCAGCAACGCAGCGUGCGGGAUGACGGCCUUCGGGUUGUAAACCGCUUUCGCCUGUGACGAAGCGUGAGUGACGGUAAUGGGUAAAGAAGCACCGGCUAACUACGUG
rnacentral:rRNA from 1 species